rnacentral:rRNA from 1 species
CGGCGAUCGGGAUCAAAGAAGGCCUCUGCUUGCAAGCUUUCACUGAAGGAUGAGUCCGCGUACCAUUAGCUAGUUGGCAGGGUAAUGGCCUACCAAGGUUAUGAUGGUUAGCUGGUCUGAGAGGAUGAUCAGCCACACUGGAACUGAAACACGGUCCAGACUCCUACGGGAGGCAGCAGUGAGGAAUAUUGCGCAAUGGGGGCAACCCUGACGCAGCAACGCCGCGUGAGUGAGGAAGGUUUUCGGAUUGUAAAGCUCUGUCGAGCGGAAAGAAGUGCAUGGUGGUUAAUAUCCAUCAUGCUUGACGGUACCGCUAAAGGAAGCACCGGCUAACUCCGUGCCGGCAGCCGCGGUAAUACGGGGGGUGCAAGCGUUGUUCGGAAUCAUUGGGCGUAAAGCGCGUGUAGGCGGCUGGACAAGUCAGAUGUGAAAGCCCUGGGCUUAACCCAGGAAGUGCAUUUGAAACUGUUCAGCUAGAGUAAGGGAGAGGAAAGUGGAAUUCCUGGUGUAGAGGUGAAAUUCGUAGAUAUCAGGAGGAACACCGGUGGCGAAGGCGACUUUCUGGCCCUAUACUGACGCUGAGACGCGAAAGCGUGGGUAGCAAACAGGAUUAGAUACCCUGGUAGUCCACGCUGUAAACGAUGUUCACUAGGUGUUGGGGGUAUUGACCCUUCCAGUGCCGCAGCUAACGCAUUAAGUGAACCGCCUGGGGAGUACGGUCGCAAGAUUAAAACUCAAAGGAAUUGACGG